rnacentral:rRNA from 1 species
CACGUAGUUAGCCGUGACUUCCUCGCCGGGUACCAUCACUCAGAAAGCUUUCCACUCUUUCUGCCUCUUGUCCCCGGCAACAGAGCUUUACGAUCCGAAGACCUUCCUCGCUCACGCGGCAUUGCUCGUUCAGGGUUCCCCCCAUUGACGAAAAUUCCCUACUGCUGCCUCCCGCAGGAGUCUGGGCCGUGUCUCAGUCCCAGUGUGGCCGUCCGCCCUCUCAGGCCGGCUAUGCAUCGUCGCCUUGGUGAGCCGUUACCUCUCCAACCAGCUAAUGCACCGCAGGUCCAUCUGCAUGCGGGACUCUUGUCCCCUUUUACCAAAAAGAAGAUGCCUCCUCUUUGCUCAUCCGGUAUCAGCUUCCGUUCCAGUAAGUUCCUCCCGCUCAUGCAGGCAGGUUCCCUACGUCGUUACCCACCCGUUCGCCACUCAUACUCCGAAGACUACUCCGUUCGACUUGCUAUGUUAUUAGGCAUCGCCGCCAGUCGUUCACUCUGACGCC